AUGUGGCUCAGAGGUAAAAGUACUUGCCUGGCAUGCAUGAGGCCCUGGGUUCGAAUCCCCAAGCAU
rnacentral:tRNA from 1 species